AGAGUUUGAUCAUGGCUCAGGAUAAACGCUGGCGGCGUGCCUAAUGCAUGCAAGUCGAACGGGUAGCCCUUCGGGACUACUAGUGGCAAACGGGUGAGUAACACGUGGGGAUCUGCCCAGUAGUGGGGAACAACUCCGAGAAAUCGGAGCUAAUACCGCAUACGGUCUGUGUUGAAGGACACAAGACUAAAGCCUUUCUCGCAAGAGGAGGGCGCUAUUGGAGGAACCUGCGGCUGAUUAGCUAGUUGGUGGGGUAAAGGCCUACCAAGGCGAUGAUCAGUAGCUGGUCUGAGAGGAUGGACAGCCACACUGGGACUGAGAUACGGCCCAGACUCCUACGGGAGGCAGCAGCAAGGAAUUUUCGUCAAUGGGGGAAACCCUGAACGAGCAACGCCGCGUGGGCGAAGAAGUCUUUCGGGAUGUAAAGCCCUUUUCCCUGGGAAGAAAGAAAGACGGUACCAGGGGAAUAAGCAUCGGCUAACUACGUGCCAGCAGCCGCGGUAAUACGUAGGAUGCAAGCGUUGUCCGGAAUUAUUGGGCGUAAAGAGCGCGCAGGCGGUCAAACAAGUCAGAUGUGAAAUAUCCGGGCUUAACCCGGAGGGGUCAUUUGAAACUGUUUAACUAGAGUACAGCAGAGGAUAGCGGAAUUCCCGGUGUAGUGGUGAAAUGCGUAGAUAUCGGGAGGAACACCAGUGGCGAAGGCGGCUAUCUGGGCUGAAACUGACGCUGAGGCGCGAAGGCUAGGGGAGCAAACAGGAUUAGAUACCCUAGUAGUCC
rnacentral:rRNA from 1 species